UUUUCUUGUGACUCGUUCACCUUGAUUCUCUAAGCAAUAGUUUGCUGAAGGGGUCUUAAGCCUUAGCUAUUGCACAAAAGCACGAGGAGAAAGUAUCCUUUACCCAGAGUAAAACUAGCCUAAAUAGGAGGGGCCACUUGCACCUGGUGGUUGGCUUGCAGCGAUGAGGAACCUCAGCUACCCUGUCAUAUAUCGGAGGUGAGCGCUAGCUACUCUGCAUCUCCCCUCCCUUUGAGUCACUGAAGAACGAAGAACGUCAGAGGACUGCUGUGACCACGGGGCCUCUUGGGCAGUGGCAUCUUGGCUGAGGAACCAGACUCUCAUGGGGGGACUACAGCUCCCAUAGGGCACUGCAGCUGCCUGUCUGAACCAAAACGCACAGGUUUGAGCUGAGAAUGGUUUUCGGCUUCUGAUGGCAAACCAGAAUCGUUUAUGCAUCCGUCAACUAGUAAGUCCCUCUGCAUGUGGGAUGUUCACCGUGGGACCUGGGGUGUUUGCGCUGGGGAAGAGAGACCCGAGUUCUCAAGCGGCAGCUACGCAACCAGGCUUUCUGUGGAAGAAGAUGAAUAAGAAGCGACCUUCUGACCAAAACACAAAUUUUAAAAAUCGCACAAGAACACAGGAUCCUGACAUGUUCUGGUCUCAAGGAGGUUAAAUAAAAAUAAUAAAAAAAGAAAGCCCAGAAGCAGCAGCAGUGAAAAAUGGAGUGCAACUUUCCCAGACUCCGUAAAAUAUUCCUAUCAGUUCUUCCUUGCUUUAAAAGACAGCACCCUACCUAUGACUUAUACUUUUACAAAACUGGAAAAAGUUGAUAUUGAGAUCAAAUUCCCAAAGUGAGGCUGAUUCUUCAUUAAGAAACAGUUUCCUGGAUUUGGACAUGAUUGAGUACUGGUGAGAUCUGCAUAAAAAAUGAAACCUGAACUCUGUUCCUCAAAGCUUUUUCUAAUUUCCAUGUGCUGAUCAGCUGGACAAUUGUACAUCCCUCAAGACAUACUCAAGGUACAAGAAGCAGAUUGCAAAAGUCACUCACUAGGCGAAUAAUAAUUUAAGGGUGAGAGUGUGAGAGAGAACGAGUUGCUGGGCUGCUGCUUUUCCUACACUCCUUUGAAAUCUGGGGGAAUCUACCCCUCAAAUGAUUCAUGUGCAACUAUUGUCAUCAUGUCUUGCCACGAAAAAGACUUUUUGAAGCCCUUGGCAACCUGACGCCACCUCGUAAGUGCAAGUGCAAAGGUCUUUUCCAUCUCUAAUUGCUAAGAGGCCUUGAGUUAGCCAGAACACGGAAGACAGGAAGGCUCCAUUAGAAGGAAAUAGUUCAUCCUGUGAAAAGGAGACUGUAAGGAAGACAAAAUGCAUUUACCUUAUUAAAUAAAAGUGUAAUUAGCUGGAAGGAAAUGUGAAAGGCGUUAAGAACAAAAAAGAAACCCUUUUUUCUGAGGUGGGAAGACCACCAAUAGUCACCAAAGUGGAGAGAAAUUUAUAGUAGUGUGGGGGAGAGUCUGUUUGGAGAUACUUUAAUGGUAAUUUUUAGGAAGAAUUUACAAGCAUACUCUGCUACCGAGUGGAAAAAUACAUUGGCCACAAAGAAAUUGCUGUUUGCCAAGCCUAAUGAUUCAUUUCUGAGUCAUAAAUAAUAGGUCCCUAAUGACAAAGGGUAUAAGAGUGGUUGUCUCUUGCCAACUAUUUAUUAGAAAAUAGAGCUAAAUCAUUAGCUGGGAGCUCUCUUACCGGAAAGCUGAAACCACAUUUCUCUAUGAAAGGUCAUAAGCUAUUUCCACAAGAAUUUAGACAAAACAUUAUUGCAUUUUAAAUCUUUCAUCUUUAGCACCAAAAAAAAGCAGGGAAAAAAAGCAAUCGGUUCACCAGAGAACUCCAAUUUGUCAUGGGGCAUCCCUUGAGAUCCAAAAGGGUAAGCAAAGAAUAGAGGGAGUUUUGAAACACCAGCAGCAGUGUCUUCUGAGAAAAUGGAAAUUAAUUGGCUUCGCCUCCUUCAGAGACCUUCCCCACACGGUCCUCCACAGCCUGCUGGGACGCUGCAGCUCAAGACGAAGGUGUCAUUAUUGACAAACCAUAAGGUGUCCAUGGCCCAGCUACUGCACCACGACCUCAUGGCCAGUGCUGGCUGAUUUUAACCGCUCGCUAUCGCUGCAGCCACCAUCGAUCACUUUGCAUGUGUGAAGAAUAAUGGUGCCCCAGGGUUUGAGGGCGUGCAUCAGCCGUGGUUCUCAGAGGCCUUUUUCAGCAUGAAUGCAUGAGCCCUUGGUUCAGAGAAGUGCCUCGGUGUCUGCUUAAUUCCUGCUGACUUCAAAGUGGGUGAACAUUUAAAGUUAAGCCCACCUGAACGCGCUUUGUUGGAGCAGAGUCUCUUGUCUUCUACUGGUCCAGGGGAAAAGGUGUGAGUAAGCUUCUCUCUAAAAGGGAAGGCAAACUGAGGCACAAGGAGACAUGAGCUGAGCCAUUUUUAUGGCUGAAGGGAGCCACUUGUAAUGACUUCUCUCAGAGAGAUGGGUGCCUGGAGAGAUGAAACACCCAUGACUGUGCAGGCAGUUAAUGUAGAUCCAGUUUCCCACAGACAUGGUUGAUGCGGUUUGGCCUACACAAUUUGAGCGAGGAAAUCCUGGGAGUUGGUGGCAGGGGUCAGAAGAGCAGCUUUGGAAGAAUUCAUCUCACCUCCCUUCAGCUCUCCAAAUACAGCCCGUGGGCUGUGGGUGUGCUCUAGACUCCUCUACAGCCCAUGAGGGACACCGUGCCCUGGGUGGUGGGCCAUCUCCUCUACCUUUGGUGAGGAACGGAGUGGGAUGCUCAGCUUUCUGCAAGUGCUUCUCUCUGUGCUGGCUGCAGAGGCAGCUGGGAUGGUUGAGUGAGACUGGACACGGGCCAUUGUUUAUCUCCUAUAUGCCUAACGAGCAAAACCAGCCCUUCCCACAUUGACUCUCAGUCAUGUGCUCUUCCUUGGACGGAUGUCUCUGCUGGUCCCAACUCCUCAGUGUCAUGUACAACAUCUGACUGAGGCCACAGCAGAGAAGCCAGAGGAGACACUGUGCAAGUCAUACUGCUUGUGAAAGGAAGCGGUUGCAUGGAGACCCGUGCACGAAGCUGGACGUGGCUGAAGACAAGGCUGAAUUGUUUCCCCGUAAACAGCCUGUUCUGUGUCUCUGCUGACCCCGUGGAUUCCAGGCCCGGUGCCUCGCACCAAAGGGCAGGGAGAUGGCUGUCACCAGCAGAAAACCAUUCCAAAGCUGUGGAUGGCAGGAGAAGGAAAAGUCAUCCUUUCAGAUGUGCUUCACAUUUUUGAGGAAGAAGAAAAAAAAAAAAAAAGGCUGUGUAUUUUACCCCUGAUUUUUCAAGGGAAAUCAACAAUUCUAAAACAACUUUUGUCCUCUGACAAAUAUAUGACAAAAUAACGUCUGCCCUCAAUGUUGGGGAUGUUGGUGAAAUGUUACUUUUCCAUGAGCUCUGUUUCCUUGGA